rnacentral:rRNA from 1 species
UACGUAGGGGGCUAGCGUUGUCCGGAAUCAUUGGGCGUAAAGCGCGUGUAGGCGGUCCGGUAAGUCCGGUGUGAAAACUCGAGGCUUAACCUCGAGAUGUCAUCGGAAACCAUUUGGCUAGAGUCCGGAAGAGGAAAGUGGAAUUCCUGGUGUAGCGGUGAAAUGCGCAGAUAUCAGGAGGAACACCGGUGGCGAAGGCGGGUCUCUGGGCCGUAACUGACGCGUG